UACGAAGGGUGCAAGCGUUACUCGGAAUUACUGGGCGUAAAGCGUGCGUAGGUGGUGAGUUAAGUCUGUCGUGAAAGCCCCGGGCUCAACCUGGGAAUGGCGAUGGAUACUGGCUCGCUAGAGUGCGGUAGAGGAGAGUGGAAUUCCCGGUGUAGCAGUGAAAUGCGUAGAGAUCGGGAGGAACACCAGUGGCGAAGGCGGCUUUCUGGUCUGUAACUGACGCUGAGGCGCGAAAGCGUGGGGAGCAAACAGG
rnacentral:rRNA from 1 species